rnacentral:rRNA from 1 species
CCUACGGGAGGCAGCAGUGGGGAAUAUUGGACAAUGGGCGAAAGCCUGAUCCAGCCAUGCCGCGUGUGUGAAGAAGGUCUUCGGAUUGUAAAGCACUUUAAGUUGGGAGGAAGGGCAGUAGCUUAAUACGUUGCUGCUUUGACGUUACCGACAGAAUAAGCACCGGCUAACUCCGUGCCAGCAGCCGCGGUAAU